CCUACGGGGGGCAGCAGUGAGGAAUAUUGGUCAAUGGCCGGAAGGCUGAACCAGCCAUGCCGCGUGAAGGUCAGUGCCCUAUGGGCGUUAAACUUCUUUUGUGCGGGAGCAAUAAUGGUCACGUGUGGCCAGACGAGAGUACCGUACGCAUAAGCAUCGGCUAACUCCGUGCCAGCAGCCGCGGUAAUACGGGGGAUGCAAGCGUUAUCCGGAUUUAUUGGGUUUAAAGGGUGCGUAGGCUGUGAGGUAAGUCAGCGGGGAAAUGCCCCCGCUCAACGGGGUGAAGUGACAUUGAUACUGCCUUGCUGGAAUGCGGAUGCGGUGGGAGGAAUGUGUGGUGUAGCGGUGAAAUGCAUAGAUAUCACACAGAACACCGAUUGCGAAGGCAUCUCACGAAUCCGCGAUUGACGCUGAUGCACGAAAGCGUGGGUAUCAAACAGGAUUAGAUACCCCAGUAGUC
rnacentral:rRNA from 1 species